rnacentral:rRNA from 1 species
GACGAACGCUGGCGGCGUGCUUAACACAUGCAAGUCGAACGGAAAGGCCCUGCUUGCAGGGUACUCGAGUGGCGAACGGGUGAGUAACACGUGGGUGAUCUGCCCUGCACUUCGGGAUAAGCCUGGGAAACUGGGUCUAAUACCGGACAGGAGCCAUUUUUAGUGUGAUGGUUGGAAAGUUUUUUCGGUGUAGGAUGAGCCCGCGGCCUAUCAGCUUGUUGGUGGGGUAAUGGCCUACCAAGGCGGCGACGGGUAGCCGGCCUGAGAGGGUGGACGGCCACAUUGGGACUGAGAGACGGCCCAGACUCCGACGGGAGGCAGCAGUGGGGAAUAUUGCACAAGGGGCGCAAGCCUGAUGCAGCGACGCCGCGUGGGGGAUGACGGCCUUCGGGUUGUAAACUCCAUUCGCUAGGGACGAAGCUUUUUGUGACGGUACCUAGAUAAGAAGCACCGGCUAACUACGUG